UUUUUCUAUUUAUGGAAUUUCUUUUUCGUUUCAUUUAUUUUGCAGAUGCUUCCAACUACUUUGACAUUUAAGGGCCUCGCAUGAACACUCAUACGGUAUCAAAUUCACCAGCAAAGCCGGGAACACAUCCGAUUGCAUUGUGCACGGCAAUCCACCGCGACUGUCGAAUGGCUGGAUAAGGACAAUAAUCACAUCACCUUGAUAUCAAUAUAUCAGAAUAAAAAUUUCCUUAAAAUUAGGAAGUGGGAAAUGAUAGGAAAACAUUGAACUUUUUUGCUAAGGUCCGUCAAGUACACGCCAACAACUCACUUUAUUUCCCACCUUUUGAAGCCGUAGAUUUUCAUCAAGAUGUCCAUUGGACGGUUUAUCAUUGUGUCAAAUUUCACAAAAUCACAAAUUUAAGUUAUUUAUCGUCGUAUUUGUAAUUUAUAAUAAAGACAAUCAUUUUUUAAAAUUUUUCUUAUUAUUGAGUGACAUAAUCGCGUUCACUCUGUAUUUUCCCUUAUGCCAUCACCACUUUAAACGUACGAAUGAAAUAUGUAGAAAUGAAAUUAAUCAAGCAUUUACAAAUAAAGCGAAAUUCGAUUGUCACAAA